GGGGGUGUGGCUCAGUGGUUGAGCAUUUGCCUGGCAUGCAGGAGGCCCUAGAUUCUAUCCCCA
rnacentral:tRNA from 1 species